UGGUGGAGUGAUUUGUCUGGUUAAUUCCGUUAACGAGCGAGACCUCAACUUGCAAACUAGCGAUGCAAACCGUCUGAUAUGUGAUGAAAUGGAACGGGCGUCUCUGCCUUCGCGGGCUUGACCUUUUUCCAGGGAUUCGUUGAUGUGUUUGUAGAACAGCUUCUUUGAAGGACUCUGGAUGUUUAAUCCAGGGAAGCGUGAGGCAAUAACA
rnacentral:rRNA from 1 species